GGCUCUGGGGCUCAGGGGUAGAGUGCUCAGCUGGCACAUGAGAGGCACUGGGUUCGAUCCUCAGCACCA
rnacentral:tRNA from 1 species